AUUUUGGAAGGCAGGCUAGCAAAGAAGUCAGAUGGCUCUCUGGGAUGUCUGGUUCCCUCGGUGAGAGAGAAUCAUGUACUAGACUGUGUUGCAAGAUGUUUCAAGUCUUGGACAUUGGUUACACAAAAGAUUGAACAGUGAUAUAUUUGCCUCACAGUAGCAGCAACAGCUACAUCCUUGAUAACCCAUUCUGAGUCCUCUUUCAAGCGUAGGAGAAAUGAUCCAAACUGGGAUUUUUAAAAUUCAAAUAUUGUGCUUAUUACAAUAUUCCAAGACCUUAUAGAAGAACUCAAACUUCCUUUAAGGAACCAAAACAUGUCUACUUAGUAUCUAAUGUAUGCAAAAACCUAUGCUAAGUAGGCAUAAAAUGUGGAGCAUUGCAAAAAGUCUCAUUACAGUUGUAAGCUUUAAACUUAAUAAAUUAAAAGUGCUCUGAAACUCUUUAGGAUAUCCUGUACUGAGAGGACACAUUCCUUUUUUCAGCCAAAAAGGGUGGGGAAAGAUGUACUUGUUCAAUAGACUCUGACCCUUCGUGAUCCUGUCUGGUGUUUUCUAGGCAGAGAUUCCUUCUCCAGCUUAUUUUACACAGGAGGAAACUGAGGCAACAGGGGAGAACCUGGAGCAUCUCCCCAACCAUAGGGAAUUCAUCUUUCCUUUGGAAUUUGUGCUGGACUGCCUCCCUGACAGUGGCCAACACCUUUAAUGAGAAGGAUGGUUCGAAGCAUCUCUGAAUAUGACAUAGACUUAGCUUUUAAGAACCAAACAAAGCCAUCUCAGCCUGUCUGACUUGCUUGAGGGGAGAAAACGAAGGAAAAAAAAACCUAAAAUUGUUUUGUGGUCUUGUGGGAAUGCAUAAAAUGACUGUGAAUGGUCCACAACAUCAUCACAAGUUGCUUCCAUCAAAGCUGCUUCGCCGAUCAUUUUACAGAUAUGGAACUGAAGGAAACAGGGUUAAAUGACUUGCCCAGAGCACAGAGCUGGUUUGAUCUCUGGAAGAUGAGCCCAAGACUCUAUCAACCAUUACAACUCCACCUAACUGCCCAGCUCUUUCACAUUUAUAUAUGUGAAAGAGCUCAUAUAUCACCUUAAUAAUCUCAUAUAUAAUCUUAAUAAAUAGAAGGUGCCCUCAAAGUCUUAGUGAGGU
rnacentral:lncRNA from 1 species